GUGCUCGCUUCGGCAGCACAUAUACUAAAAUUGUAACGUACAAAGAUUAGCAUGGCCCCUGCGUUAGGACGACAUGCAAAUUUGUGAACCAUUCCAUAUUUUU